GUAAAUUGAACCAAUAACACUUCAUUCUUUGUUUUCAUUCGCUAAAUAUUGAAAUAUCACCCAAUGCAUUUCACAAUAGACUCCAUGUUUCAUGAAACGCCCUCAGUGGUGCAACUUUGGAACAUCCAAAAUGUGAUACGAAUGGGUGGAUUUCAUUUUUGAUAGUGAGGACACUGGCACUUCCUAUUAACCAUCAUGUCCUGAUUCAUUACUGUAAAUUUGUAAGAAAAGGAAUUUUUUGAGAAGCAGCGUCUGGAAAUCAGAGGACAGCAUCAUCCUGUUUCCAAAGCCAAAGUGUCUUAUCACAACAACAUCUGGGCAAGCUGCAGCGCUAACCAAGUAAUGCUGACUUCGUAGCAAAAAAAGGCUAACUGAUGGACGGACACUUUCAGGAGAGGAACUAGUUAGCUCGACAACAUAAGAAGGCCACACUUGAAGGUGGUAUGACAAGUCAGCUGUCAUAGAAAGGGGGAAGACGUGAUAAUUGUUUAAAUAUGGGAUUAAUGGUGCAAAUUUUCUGUGUUUCUCCUGGAAGGCAUUUAUAGUUUUGCACUUGGUUGUAUGCAUGGAAAGUGUCAGAAUUGUCUCAAUAGAGAAACCUGCUAACUGACCUAACUGUGUAAAAUGCUGGAUUGUCAGUUUCCUGAAAGUUACAGAAAAUGGCAGACACAGCCCCCCCAAUUCCAAUAUUGGGAGGGGCUUGAAGUGUACUGAAAC